rnacentral:rRNA from 1 species
GAUGAACGCUAGCGAUAGGCUUAACACAUGCAAGUCGAGGGGCAGCACAAGGUAGCUUGCUAUCUGGGUGGCGACCGGCGCACGGGUGCGUAAUGCGUAUGCAACUUGCCCUAUACAGGAGGAUAACCCGUCGAAAGACGGACUAAUACUGCGUAUGCUCACAACUUGGCAUCAAGUGGUGAGGAAAGAAAUUCGGUAUAGGAUAGGCAUGCGUCCCAUUAGCUUGUUGGUGAGGUAACGGCUCACCAAGGCAACGAUGGGUAGGGGAACUGAGAGGUUUAUCCCCCACACUGGUACUGAGACACGGACCAGACUCCUACGGGAGGCAGCAGUGAGGAAUAUUGGUCAAUGGGCGCGAGCCUGAACCAGCCAAGUCGCGUGAAGGAUGACUGUCUUAUGGAUUGUAAACUUCUUUUAUACGGGAAUAACAAGAGUCACGUGUGACUCCCUGCAUGUACCGUAUGAAUAAGCAUCGGCUAACUCCGUG